AGAGUUUGAUCCUGGCUCAGGAUGAACGCUGGCGGCGUGCUUAACACAUGCAAGUCGAACGAAGCACUUUAUUUGAUUUCCUUCGGGACUGAUUAUUUUGUGACUGAGUGGCGGACGGGUGAGUAACGCGUGGGUAACCUGCCUUGUACAGGGGGAUAACAGUUGGAAACGGCUGCUAAUACCGCAUAAGCGCACAGCAUCGCAUGAUGCAGUGUGAAAAACUCCGGUGGUAUAAGUUGGACCCGCGUUGGAUUAGCUAGUUGGUGAGGUAACGGCCCACCAAGGCGACGAUCCAUAGCCGACCUGAGAGGGUGACCGGCCACAUUGGGACUGAGACACGGCCCAAACUCCUACGGGAGGCAGCAGUGGGGAAUAUUGCGCAAUGGGCGAAAGCCUGAUGCAGCGACGCCGCGUGAGCGAAGAAGUAUUUCGGUAUGUAAAGCUCUAUCAGCAGGGAAGAUAAUGACGGUACCUGACUAAGAAGCACCGGCUAAAUACGUGCCAGCAGCCGCGGUAAUACGUAUGGUGCAAGCGUUAUCCGGAUUUACUGGGCGUAAAGGGAACGCAGGCGGUCUUUUAAGUCUGAUGUGAAAGCCUUCGGCUUAACCGAAGUAGUGCAUUGGAAACUGGAAGACUUGAGUGCAGAAGAGGAGAGUGGAACUCCAUGUGUAGCGGUGAAAUGCGUAGAUAUAUGGAAGAACACCAGUGGCGAAAGCGGCUCUCUGGUCUGUAACUGACGCUGAGGUUCGAAAGCGUGGGUAGCAAACAGGAUUAGAUACCCUGGUAGUCCACGCCGUAAACGAUGAGUGCUAAGUGUUGGAGGGUUUCCGCCCUUCAGUGCUGCAGCUAACGCAUUAAGCACUCCGCCUGGGGAGUACGGUCGCAAGACUGAAACUCAAAGGAAUUGACGGGGGCCCGCACAAGCGGUGGAGCAUGUGGUUUAAUUCGAAGCAACGCGAAGAACCUUACCAGGUCUUGACAUCUUCUGACAAUUCCAGAGAUGGAACGUUCCCCUCGGGGACAGAAUGACAGGUGGUGCAUGGUUGUCGUCAGCUCGUGUCGUGAGAUGUUGGGUUAAGUCCCGCAACGAGCGCAACCCUUAUUGUCAGUUGCCAUCAUUAAGUUGGGCACUCUGGCGAGACUGCCGGUGACAAACCGGAGGAAGGUGGGGAUGACGUCAAAUCAUCAUGCCCCUUAUGACCUGGGCUACACACGUGCUACAAUGGACGGUACAACGAGUCGCUAACUCGCGAGGGCAAGCUAAUCUCUUAAAGCCGUUCUCAGUUCGGAUUGCAGGCUGCAACUCGCCUGCAUGAAGUCGGAAUCGCUAGUAAUCGCGAAUCAGCAUGUCGCGGUGAAUACGUUCCCGGGCCUUGUACACACCGCCCGUCACACCAUGAGAGUUUGUAACACCCAAAGUCGGUGGGGUAACCUUUUGGAGCCAGCCGCCUAAGGUGGGACAGAUGAUUGGGGUGAAGUCGUAACAAGGUA
rnacentral:rRNA from 1 species